UUGAGUGCUUUACAUCCAUAGCACAGGCACUGGGUCCAGGGUUCUCUCAAUUUGCUGAGCCUGUGUUUCAGAGGUGUAUAAAUAUCAUCCAGAGCCAACUUGUGGCCAAGGUUGAUCCCAUUUCAAUUGGAGUACCAUACGAUAAAGAGUUUAUUGUCUGCUCUCUGGAUCUCCUCUCUGGGCUUGCUGAGGGUCUUGGUAGUGGGAUACAGAGUUUGGUUUCACAAAGUAGUUUGAGG
rnacentral:misc_RNA from 1 species